UAAAACUUUUUUGACCUCGAUUCGCGAUGAAACCGAAUGGAAAAUCCCCGAUGAACUCCGAUUAUGAUGAAAAGGUCAUGUUCUUCCAAGAUGUCACACCGGGUCCUCCUGCAUAUGAGGCAAGGCUCUCUAUACACUCUCGCCAGCUUCUACGGAUCUAGAAGCAAAGAUGGAGAAGGUCAUGCAUCCUGAUGUGUAGGAGAUCAAGUUUGAGUUGGAGGCUAGGGGAAGAAAUAUUUCCAGGAGAAUGAGAUAAUUUAGAGGUCGAUUUCAUAAACAAAGAAAUAAUUUGGAGCAGAAAGCACUAGCGAUGACGAUGGGGAGAAGGAAGAUGUGUACCAGUUUGGAGUGAUCCUACUUCAGAUCAUCACGGGCAAAGUAAUGGCGGCUGCAUCCUCAGAGUUGGGAAGCUUGAAGCUUCAGCUGGAGAAUGGUUUGAGAGAGGAACCAUCGGUGUUGCGUAGCUUAGCAGAUCCAAGCGUGAGGGGAAUGUAUGCGUAUGAGUCACUGAGGACCACAGUGGAGUUUUCCAUUAACUGUCUUUGUGAAGAUCAGAGGAAGAGGCCAUCGAUAUAGGAUGUUGUGUGGAACAUCCCUC